GGAGAUGAUCAACGCAGACUUGGCCCCCAGAUGAGAAUGCAAGGAAACCAAAGGUGGAUUUCCAAGCUCUCUGAUGUGUUCUGCACUCAGAUCGUCAUGGAGGGAGAGACCGAAGGGUUGCCAAGUGAAGAUUAAAAAAAGGACUGAGAAUCCUCAUCAGCAGCUAUAUAGGUCAGAGAAAAUGCUGAAGGAAAAAAGAAACCCUAGAAAAAAAGAAGAUAAGAUGGCAGAAUAGAAGGACUGGAGCUCAACUUCUCUCCUAAGAACAACAAAAUUCACAACUGAAAGCUGAGCAAUGCCCACCUGAAUGGACCAGAAACCUUAAAAAAGAUACCCUACUCCAGAAGAAAAAGAGAAGGCUGCAUCAAGAGGUAGGUGGGGUGAUUUCAUGAUAUAAAAAAUCCCAUACCUCCUGGGUGGGAAGCUCCACAGACUGAAAACUAACUGGUUCACAGAGAGAGACUCACCUACCAGAGUGAGAGUUCUGAGCCCCACAUCAAACCCUCACAUGUGGGGAUCCGGCACUGGGAGAAAGAGCCCCUGGAGCAUCUGGCAUUGAAGGCCAGUUGGGCUUGUGUGCAGGAGCUCCACAGGACUGAGGGAAAUGGAGACCCCAUUCUUAAAAGGCGCACACGGACUUUCACGUGCAGUGGAUCCCAGGGCAGAGCGAGGUCUCCAUAGGAAUCUGGGUCAAACCUGACUGCAGUUCUUGGAGGACAUCCUGGGAAAACAGGGGUGAAUGUGGCUUGUUGUGAGGGAGGGACAUUGAAGGCAAAACUCUCGGGAAUAUUCAGCAGUUGCCUUUCUCUGGAGGUGGCCAUUUUGGGAAAACCUGGCCCCAACCAUCAGUCAGUGCUGAGAAGCUCCCAGGGCAAACAACAAUCCAGGUGGGAUCACAGCCCUCUCCUCAGUAAACAGGCUACUUAAAGACCCCUCAGGCACACAGCUGCCUCUGAUCCCAUCCAGGGACUAAGCCCCAUUCACCAGAGGGAUUAGAAUCAGCUCCACCUACCAGUGGGCAGGCAUCAGCCCCUCCCAUCAGGAAGCCUACAGCAAGCCCCCAUACCGACUUCGGCCACAAGGGGGGCAGCCACCAGAAGUAAGAGAGGCUACAACCCUAUUAUCUGUAAAAAGGUCACCACACCAAAAAUCUAUAAAAAUGAAAAGACAGAGAACUAUAACUCAGAUGAGGGAGAAAGGAAAAACCCCAGAAAAUCAGUUAAGCGAUGAGGAGAUUCUUAGCCUCCAGGAAAAAGACUUUAGAUUGCUGAUGCUGAAGAUGAUGCAAGACAUUGGAAAUCAACUGGAGGCAAAGAUGGAUAGCUUACAGGAAACACUGAGCAAAGAGAUAUAAGAUAUAAAACUUAAACAAGAAGAGAUGCAAAAUACAAUAACUGAAAUAAAAAACUCACUAGAAGCAGCUAACAGCAGAAUAUAGGAGGCAGAAGAACGAAUAAGCGAGGUGGAGGACAGAUUAGUGGAAAUUACGGAUGCAGAACAGAAAAGAGAAAAAAGAUUGAAAACAAAUGAAGAGAGUCUCAGAGAACUCUGGGACAGCAUUAAACGCACCAACAUCCGUAUUAUAGGAGUGCCAGAGGAGAAGAGAGAUAGAAGGGGCCAGAAAAAAUAUUUCAAGAGAUAAUAGCUGAAAAUUUCCCUCACAUGGGAAAGGAACCACUCAUUCAAAUCCAGGAAGCACAACAAGUACCAUAUAAAAUAAACCCAAGGAGGAAUACACCAAGACACAUAUUAAUCAAACUGACCAAAAUUAAAGCCAAAGAGAAAAUCUUGAAAGCAGCUAGGGAAAAGAAAUAAAUAAUAUACAAGAGAACCCCAAUAAGGUUAUUGGCAGAUUUUUCAGCAGAAACUCUGCAGGCCAGGAGGGAGUGGCAUGAUAUACUUAACAUGAUGAAAGGAAAAAACCUCCAACCAAGAUUACUCUACCCAGCAAGGCUCUUAUUCAGAUUUGAAGGAGAAAUCAAAACCUUCACAGAUAAGCAAAAGCUGAGAGAAUUCAGCAACACUAAACCAGCCUUACAAUAAAUACUAAAGCAACUUUUCUAGGCAGAAAAGACAGCAACAGGAAACAAAAAUUCCACAAAUGACAAGGCUCACCAGUAAAGGUAUAUAUACAGUAAAGAUACGAAAUCAUCCAUGCACAAUUAUACCACCAAAAUCAGAAAUCAUGAGAAGAGGUGGGUACAAAUACAGGACACUGGAGAUGAACUUGCAAUUAAGAGAACAACAACUUAAAACAAUCUCAUAUAUAUAUAGACCUUUAUAUCAAAACUUCAGAAUAACUGCAAAUCAGAAAUCUACAAUUGAUACACAAACAAGGAAUCUCUGAAGAAGAAAUAUAUCUCUUAGUAGAUAAUUACAUAAUCGGCCAUGAAGGGGAUCAUUUGACAUAAUUCUCGGAAUGCUGAAGUCUUCUUAAAACUGAUUCUGAUUUCCUCUCCAUCAAAGAAUUUAUGAUAAUUAUAAUAAAUAAUGCAACUGUACGAUUAUAUAUAUAUAUAUAUAAUAUGGGUCUAUAAUUGUAUUAUUAAUAACCAUUUCUCUCCAUGGUACAAAUGUAAAGUCUAUAAUGUCUUGUUUAUCACAUCACCUAGAAUGGUAUAAUGCCUUUAUUGAAGAAUCAAUAAUAUGUAACAAAUUGUGAGGACAUAUUUUUAUAGUUACACUGUUUUUUAACCAAUUUAUGCAUUUUAUAUUUUACUUAUUUUCAGAGGGUGUAUUAUUUUUGUUAUUCUUACCAGUUGUUAUUCUUUUUAUUAUGCUAUAUAAAAUAUUUAAUGGUA
rnacentral:lncRNA from 9 species